AACGAACGCUGGCGGCAUGCCUAACACAUGCAAGUCGAACGAGACCUUCGGGUCUAGUGGCGCACGGGUGCGUAACGCGUGGGAACCUGCCCUUAGGUUCGGAAUAACUCCCCGAAAGGGGUGCUAAUACCGGAUAAUGUCUUCGGACCAAAGAUUUAUCGCCUUUGGAUGGGCCCGCGUUGGAUUAGCUAGUUGGUAGGGUAAAAGCCUACCAAGGCGACGAUCCAUAGCUGGUCUGAGAGGAUGAUCAGCCACACUGGGACUGAGACACGGCCCAGACUCCGCGGGGGAGAGGCAGGGGGAAAUAUGGAAAAGGGGGAAAAGGCUUGACCGAGCAGGGCCGGGUGAGGAAAAAGGGCCUUGGGGUUGAAAACCUUUUUUACCGGGGAAAAAAAUGACAGGCCGGGAAAAAAAGGCCCCGGGAACCCCCGGC
rnacentral:rRNA from 1 species